UCAUGGCUCAGGACGAACGCUGGCGGCGUGCUUAACACAUGCAAGUCGAGCGGUAAGGCCUUUCGGGGUACACGAGCGGCGAACGGGUGAGUAACACGUGAGUAAUCUGCCCUUCACUCUGGGAUAACCUCUGGAAACGGUGGCUAAUACCGGAUAUGACAUUCUGCCGCAUGGUGGUUUGUGGAAAGUUUUUCGGUGGGGGAUGAGCUCGCGGCCUAUCAGCUUGUUGGUGGGGUGAUGGCCUACCAAGGCGACGACGGGUAGCCGGCCUGAGAGGGUGACCGGCCACACUGGGACUGAGACACGGCCCAGACUCCUACGGGAGGCAGCAGUGGGGAAUAUUGGACAAUGGGCGAAAGCCUGAUCCAGCAACGCCGCGUGAGGGAUGACGGCCUUCGGGUUGUAAACCUCUUUCAGUAGGGACGAAGCGUGAGUGACGGUACCUACAGAAGAAGGACCGGCCAACUACGUGCCAGCAGCCGCGGUAAUACGUAGGGUCCGAGCGUUGUCCGGAAUUAUUGGGCGUAAAGGGCUCGUAGGCGGUUUGUCGCGUCGGGAGUGAAAACUUGGGGCUUAACCCCAUUCGUGCUUCCGAUACGGGCAGACUAGAGGCAGGCAGGGGAGAACGGAAUUCCUGGUGUAGCGGUGGAAUGCGCAGAUAUCAGGAGGAACACCGGUGGCGAAGGCGGUUCUCUGGGCCUGUUCUGACGCUGAGGAGCGAAAGCAUGGGGAGCGAACAGGAUUAGAUACCCUGGUAGUCCAUGCCGUAAACGUUGGGCGCUAGGUGUGGGAUCCAUUCCACGGGUUCCGUGCCGCAGCUAACGCAUUAAGCG
rnacentral:rRNA from 1 species